ACGCUCGACACCACGAGGCAGCAGUAGGGAAUCUUCCACAAUGGGCGCAAGCCUGAUGGAGCAACACCGCGUGAGUGAAGAAGGGUUUCGGCUCGUAAAGCUCUGUUGUUGGAGAAGAACGUGCGUGAGAGUAACUGUUCACGCAGUGACGGUAUCCAACCAGAAAGUCACGGCUAACUACGUACCAGCAGCCGCGGUAAUCUGAGCGGGCUGGCAAGGC
rnacentral:rRNA from 1 species